CGUACACUCCUGCGGGAGGCAGCAGUGGGGAAUAUUGGACAAUGGGCGCAAGCCUGAUCCAGCCAUGCCGCGUGAGUGAUGAAGGCCCUAGGGUUGUAAAGCUCUUUCACCGGUGAAGAUAAUGACGGUAACCGGAGAAGAAGCCCCGGCUAACUUCGUGCCAGCAGCCGCGGUAAUACGAAGGGGGCUAGCGUUGUUCGGAUUUACUGGGCGUAAAGCGCACGUAGGCGGACUAUUAAGUCAGGGGUGAAAUCCCGGGGCUCAACCCCGGAACUGCCUUUGAUACUGGUAGUCUUGAGUUCGAGAGAGGUGAGUGGAAUUCCGAGUGUAGAGGUGAAAUUCGUAGAUAUUCGGAGGAACACCAGUGGCGAAGGCGGCUCACUGGCUCGAUACUGACGCUGAGGUGCGAAAGCGUGGGGAGCAAACAGGAUUAGAAACCCUUGUAGUCCC
rnacentral:rRNA from 1 species